AAUAUGUCAUAAUAUCAUUCAAAUACCACCAGAACUCAUUUUACCAGCUCCUCAUACCCUCAUCCAUUGUUUUAGCCUACAGUUUUAGCCUCCCACCACAGGGAGAGAUAUGGACCAUGUCAAAUCAGGAAUCCUGAAGAAAAUCAUGUUUCAUUUGCUAUAUAUAUAGCCCCAUCAGGCAACCCUACUGAUUCCCCUGUAACCCACAACCCAACACACUUCUAUUAGAAACAGGUGCCCUGGUCUGGCCUGUUAAAUUACUAUUGCCCUGUUAUUGUAUUUAAGCCCCAACUAAAAUACAUUCUGCUGUUCACUGUGCACAUCAGUCUGGAUCUCUAAAGAAAGACCUGAUUACCAGCUGUCUGUGAUGAGACCAAAAAGAAACCCAUGUUUUUCUGGCACUGCAAGAAUGCCCUUUGGAUUCUUAUAGUCAACAAAACUAUGUGUACUCUGAGAAACAAAAAGAGAGCAGCUUCACAUCUCUCUGCUCAGGCUGUUGUCUUUGAUGUAUCUUGGUAACCUGGCAACCUGUUUUGAUUGAUAAAAUGCCUGAGUAUAUUACACAUAGAUUCACUUGACUGUUACCCCUCCCCCCCACACACACUUACUUUAGCAUCAAGUCUUACUGUAGCAUCUGCCUUAGACUGUCUGUCUAUUUAAUUCAUUUAAUUUAUCUUUGCAAUAUCCCGCGAAUCUGAACUCUCUGACUGUGAAGAAAUAAGGGUGUGAAUGUCUAAAUGUCCCAGUUAACAGCAGCUUGGCAGGAGUACAUGUCACUGGAAUUGUACUAUAGUGUAGCAGCUGUUUGGGCCUGUGUUGUGUUGCCUCUCCUGACCUUGGACGUGAAUUAAAGCUCUUGGAGCAGUGUAGACAUCUGGCAGAGCCCAGCGUAGAGCACAUGUGGAUGACUGACCCAUCGGACACUGGGCUCCUUACUGUUGGGCUCCUUACUGUUGUCCUCUCUGCCCGGGUCAAGGCAAGUAGCAUCGCGGUUAGUCAUGUUCAUAUACCUCUAUAAAGAAGCAAUUAGUUUACCAUCAGUUACUCUUCGAUAUUAACAUACUUUACACAUUAGUUCAUUUUUAUAUUGUGUUGUUGAGGCAGAUGCAAUGAUGUGUUCGAGACCCCCUAAAGACGUGGGGACGGGGGGACCGAGUCAAGGCCGGAACCGGGAGGGGGGCGAGGGGUCUGGGACCAAGUAAAUUGUAAUUGCUUCAAAUCGCGACUAUAAUAAGAGUCCAGUAUUUCUGUGUUCAUAUUUCAGCAGAAUUAUUGAGAAUGGUGAUAAGAAUGCAGAGAGCCACAAUAAAUGAUCACUGACCCAAACAGGUUUAUAAAUGAUCACUGACCCAAACAGGUUUAUAAAUGAUCACUGACCCAAACAGGUUUAUAAAUGAUCACUGACCCAAACAGGUUUAUAAAUGAUCACUGACCCAAACAGGUUUAUAAAUGAUCACUGACCCAAACAGGUUUAUAAAUGAUCACUGACCCAAACAGGUUUAUAAAUGAUCACUGACCCAAACAGGUUUAUAAAUGAUCACUGACCCAAACAGGUUUAUAAAUGAUCACUGACCCAAACAGGUUUAUAAAUGAUCACUGACCCAAACAGGUUUAUAAAUGAUCACUGACCCAAACAGGUUUAUAAAUGAUCACUGACCCAAACAGGUUUAUAAAUGAUCACUGACCCAAACAGGUUUAUAAAUGAUCACUGACCCAAACAGGUUUAUAAAUGAUCACUGACCCAAACAGGUUUAUAAAUGAUCACUGACCCAAACAGGUUUAUAAAUGAUCACUGACCCAAACAGGUUUAUAAAUGAUCACUGACCCAAACAGGUUUAUAAAUGAUCACUGACCCAAACAGGUUUAUAAAUGAUCACUGACCCAAACAGGUUUAUAUUAGAUUUUUCUUUUAAAGACAAUAUACACUGAGAAUACAAAACUUUAGGAACACCAUAGACUGACCAGGUGAAUCCAGGUGAAAUAUAUGAUCCCUUAUUGACGUCACUUGUUAAAUCCACUUCAAUCAGUGUAGAUGAAGGGGAGGAGACAAGUUAAAGAAGGAUUUAUACGCCUUGGGACAAUGGAGACAUGGAUUGUGUAUGUGUGCCAUUCAGGGGGUGAAUGGGCAAGAAAAAAGAUGUAAGUGUCUUUGAACAGGGUAUGGUAGUAGGUGCCAGGCGCACCGGUUUGUGUCAAGAACUGCAACGCUGCAGGGUUUUUCACGCUCAACAGUUUCCUGUGUGUAUCAAAAAUGGUCCACCACCCAAAGGACAUCCAGCCAACUUGAUACAACUGUGGGAAUCAUUGGAGUCAACAUGGGCCAGCAUCCCUGUGGAACGCUUGCGACACCUUGUAGAGUCCAUGCCCAGAUGAAUUGAGGGGGUGCAACUCAAUAUUAGGAAGGUGUUCCUAAUGUUUUGUACACUCAGUGUAUGUAACAACUUCUCCCUAAUAAUACUGAGCUUGAAACUUUCAAACAAUUUCCCCCAUUGUUCUCAUUCUGAAGAGCGCAACAAAGUUUGACGAUAUUUCUCAACGAAAGUAUAGGACAUUAAUGUUACUAGUGAAGUUGGAAGCCCAGGUUUCAAUAGGCAAUAAGUUAUGAAUGGGUCAUGAGGGAGUGUGGAUAUUUGGCCUGUCGAAGUGGUUUUAUGAGCUGAAUGAAUGGGAGCUGAUAAUUAUUAUCAUUUUUACUCUGCCGGUCUCGGGAAGACAUGAGUUCUCAUUGUCUGAAACCUAGUCAAGUCCGAGUAAAAAUUUAUCUGACACAGAGACAAGACAGAAAAACUCAAUAUGUGGUCUUGAAUACUACAACACUGAGCAUAUGUAUUCCAUUCCAUCUGGAGCCCUCUCAGUCUGUCUCAAAGUUGUUUCUGGCCUGGUUUCCAUUUGAGUUCAUUGUUUCCUAGUCGGCAGUCCAAAGGGACUCUUAAGGAAUAAGUACUUUAGAGUUCAUAAUAUUAGACAUAGGAGGGCACCGUUAUGCUCUUUUAGCACUUCAGUGUGUAUGUGAAUUCACAGGAGGUUUUCCGUACAGGGGGGUGUCCG